CAACUGCCCCGAAAGCGAUCUCGCCUCGGCUCAUCUCAUUUUUCUAUUUCGGCCCCUCUACUGUUCCAAUAAUAAUAAAAAGAUUCUCGAUUCGAUUUACUCGCCAAUUUUCAGUGAGCGGCGGCGAUCGGCUUCGGAUCGGCGCAGCGCGGCGGAGCGGAGAUGGUUGCCGUGGCGGUGGAUGGCCUGAUCCGCGGUGCGGACGCCGUGCCGGCGGCGGAGAGGGAAGCGGUGAGGGCGGCAGCUGCGGAGGCGGCGGCCAAGGGCGGUGAGGGGGAAUCGGGGAAGGAGGAGGUGAGGGAGUAUGAGAGCGACAUGAGGAAGCUGGAGGAGCUGCUUUCUAAGCUGAACCCCUCGGCGGAGGAGUUCGUGCCGCAGUCCCGCCGCCGCGUGGACGGCGGCGCUCCCCGCCUUUCGGCCGACGCGCCCGUGUUCGUGUCGCCGGCGAUCGACUACUACGCGCGCCACCACCAGCUCCCGCCGCCGCCGCUUCUGCAGCAGCAGCAGCCGAUGCACGUGCUGCAGUUUGUGGGUGGCGUCGGCGGGGUUGGCAUGGGUGGCGGCGGGGGGAUGGACUCCAGCAGCGACGGAUCCGCCAAUGGUCAGCCGAAUCGACGGAGAAGGAACGGUUUCAUCCAGGGGAGGAGAAGGAUGAUGGGUGCCCGGCCUCGUCGAGCUGACAGGGAGGAUAGUGUGCGGCGGACAGUCUAUGUCUCUGACGUUGAUCAGCAUGUAACUGAACAGAAACUUGCUGAAGUUUUUUCAACCUGUGGACAGGUGGUAGAUUGCCGUAUCUGUGGUGAUCCUAACUCAGUGCUUCGUUUUGCUUUUAUCGAGUUUGCUGAUGACGUUGCUGCACAAGCAGCACUAGCACUUGGUGGAACCGUGCUUGGCUUUUAUCCUGUCAAGGUUCUGCCAUCAAAGACAGCAAUUUUACCUGUGAACCCUAAAUUUCUUCCUCACACUGAUGAUGAGAAAGAAAUGGUAUCCAGGACUGUGUAUUGUACUAACAUUGACAAGAAGAUCGCAGAAGAUGAAGUGAAGCAAUUCUUUGAGGGAACAUGUGGUGAAGUUUCUCGUCUGAGGCUACUUGGUGAUUAUGUGCACUCCACAUGCAUCGCUUUUGUUGAGUUUGUCCAAGUAAGUUAAAAUGGAACUUUAAAAUUUAAUAUCGUCACAAACAAAUCAAUUUUUGUAUCAGACAUAAUGGCAAACACAUUAAAUGAACAACACAAACACUUAUUCAUGUAAGCAUUUCCUGUUGGAAAGGCGAAUAUUGCAAUAUUUUGUUUGUAAAAUCGUCUAAUUGUUGAUUGCCCUGUAGCAAUUUCGACGUUGAACUUGUCUUUUUCCAUCCAUCCACAUCUUAUUUCUUCCAGCCUGCAUGAUUCACUUUAUUCUUCUCAAAUGCUUAGUAUUACCUGAUUCAUAUUUGGAUCAUUUAUUUGUAUUGCAGCUGUCAUCAUUGAUCAAGCUUUAGUUAUUGAAGUAACUAAGGGCUAUUAGCAGUCAUUUGAAUUUUCAUUUUUGCUUUGGGUGGCAAGUUUCAAGAGUUUCUACUGUAGUAGAAAGCUUCUUGUACACUAUCAUGUAGAACUGAUGUCAAUCUAUAAGGCCUUUUUGUUUCCUAACAGAUAAAGUAUGGUCAACUACUGAUUCAUGCCUAUCUACUACUCUACCAGCAUCUUUCUCCUGGCUUCAUCUGCAUCUCACCUUCUUACUGCUUUUAUUCUGUGUCAGCUACCAGUCUUCUAGAAACUUGUUACUCCCUCUUACAAUAUUUAUCCUUGGCCUCAGGAAAAUAUGUUCCACAAUAUUUCUCCAUUCAUGAUAUCAAGACUAGUCAUUUCUAGGUUUUCAUUAUCUAUCUCAAGUAUAAUAAAAUACUUUGAAAGAAGAUAACUACUUCUAUCAUAUUAUUUGUUAGGGAUAUAGAUGGUCAUUCUACGUUGAUUUUUUCCGUGGAAAUAGCACAUUCUUGGUUUAAGUGGAAGGCAGAUAGUGCUAUUCUCGCUCUGAACUGCAGUGGCAUUGUUCUUGGAACGCUUCCUGUUAGGGUGAGCCCAUCAAAGACACCAGUCCGCUCGCGAUCGCCCCGUGUGACGUCAUACUGAAUUCGGCUCAUCUGAAGCCGUCGUCCAGGGCAGCAAAUUUCUGGGCAACAAAGCCCUAGUCGUGUGGCCUUAGAGACUGCCGCAUCGCGGAUAAGUAAUUGUCGUUGAGCAGAGUUCUCGUUGGUUAAAGUCCAGUCUAGUAGGAGGCGCAGAGACCCGUCUGUAUGGUCGCUGGGAGAUCUAUCUUGACCUCCUUUUUCUGUUCUUUUUGGUCUUAGUUAUCGUGGUUGGAUUCUAUAGCAGCCUUGACAGGCAUUCGAACAACAAUGUUUAUGGUUAUCCUAUC